rnacentral:lncRNA from 1 species
CCGGAGGAGGCGAGCGCUGGGGACGCAGCACCUGCCCCGCGCGGCCGAGAGGCGGCAGCCCCAGGUCCCCAGCGCGCGAAAUUAGUAAAGGGCGCCUGGCCCGAUUCUCAGGCAAGAGGAGAUUAUCAGCCGGAUUCCCGUGCGGGGACGUAGGGGUUGCGUUGUUCAGCGGCCAGGGAUGCGCCGAGGCGAUGUCUCCUCCCUUUACAACCCGAGUAUCGGGGCACGAGGAGGCGCGACCUUCCUGGAAGUGGCUCCCUUCGCCGCAACUCCACACCUCGGGGUAACCGUAGAGAUUGGCAGCAAUGCCCCAGCCCCUCACCAGCACUGUGCAAAGUGACUUUGACAGGCAGAGAAAAGCCAACCCAGUCGAAUUCGUCUGGAAAGCAUUCCAGCAACCCAGAGAGGAGCCUCUGUUUCUCUCUCUGGGAAAAAGCCCCAAGGGUUUUGCUGAACCCAGGUCUUCCUGCUCAUCUCUCAGCAGUUCAGAGCUACAUAAACAACUUCUGACCAUUUACGCAAUCAUGUAAACCUACCCUGACAUCUCCACUAUGUGGAAAAGAUGUUAACUGGAAAACUAUUUUUAAACUACUGCAGUAAGCAAAUAAACAUCCAACUCCAACAUAUAUAUGCAGCAGCCUUAUUAGUUCAUUCAGUGUUGGUUUGGUUUGUUUGUUUUGUCUUCUGCUUUUUAGAAUUAAUUAUUAUCUUUAUAAUUCCUGUUCGAGAAGUGGGCAAAACCAGGCUAGUGAUAGGUAUUGUUGUGGUCAAAUUUUUCAUCACUUGAAAUUCCAUGACUUUCAUGAUUGCUGAGAUUAAUGCUAAAUAAAGAAGUUACCCCCCCGCCCCCACCCCACCCCAACCUCCCCACCAAAGUUUCCUGAUUACUUAAACUUGGAGAGAAAUUUUCAGGCUUUUUCCUCCCUCCUUGCCUGGUAUGUGUCUGUAAUAGAGGUACUUUUGCAAAACUGGAAUGUUGGUGAUGCAGGUGUUUUCCAUGGUAAACAGCCACUGAGGAUCAAUGGUUCCCAGGUUCCCACUCACUUUGAAGGCUUUUGUGCUUCUGCCGGAACUGUGACUUUUACUACCUGUACUAUGUAUGAUUUUUUUUUACAUUGAUUAUUUCUCUGCAACUAGUCAAUUAAAAGUACAUAUAUAUAACUUUUAGUAAGACUGUUUAUCAAA